UAUACCUCUCUCUCCUUCUCUCCCCUUCUCCCCUCUUCCACCGAGUGUACACACACACACACACACACACACAUACACACACACACACAUUUUGUUUGCAAUACUGAACUCAGACCUACCACAUGCCAGGGGAUCACUCUGCCACUGAGCAUUCCUAGCUACCAUUUUUAUUUAUUGAUUUUGCCAUAUAUAUAUAUAUAUAUACAUAUAUAUAGUGUGUGUGCGUGCGUGUGUGUAUGUGUUUGCAUGUGUAUGUGUGUAUAUGUAUAACACACACAUAUACAUACACACACACAUUACACUUAGGCACACAACUGUGAGGAGUACGUGUGUGUGUGUAUGUGUGUGUGUCUGCUUGUGCUAUAUAGAUACAACUUACUGAGCUGAGACCAUUAGUGUUACUUAUAUGUAUAUGAUUUCAGGACUGACCACUUGGUGUUGGAUAACCGAUUGGGGAUCUCUUCUGGGGGGAAGACUCUCUUCUGUUCCCAGCAUUCCUUAGUUGCCUGUAAUUGUUUCUCUAGGGGUGGGGUCCCACGACAAGUGUUAUCAUACCCAAUAGGUGUGUUAGCAUACCUAUUGGUAUCACUGUUGUAGCAGCCAUACAGGUGAGAAUAUCAUUCCUUUUCAUUUAAGAUGUUCAGUUCUGUCUUAAUAGAUUGUGUGUAUCGUUUUUGUUACCUUUUCUUGAUGUUCCCACCUUUCCUGUGUAUGUGUGUGUGUGUGUGUGUGAUAUGCGCUCAUACAUGUGUGUCUGUUUGCAUAUGUGAGUACCCAUGCACGUGUGCUUGCUUUCGAAGGUUAGAGGUUAACAGUGGGUGUCUCUCUCCAGGUUCUUCGGAUGAACGGGCUCUCACUGUAGCCAGAGUGCUAAUCCAGCCAGCCAGUUUGCCCUGGACAUCUCCUGUCUCUGCUCUUGUAUCAUAGGCAGGAUGUCAUGUCUGCUGUCUUCCUUGUGGGUUCUGGACUUCAGUAGAAGAUGCUGUAUCCUUGAGGCUUCACCCAUGCCCCUGACUGUUUUGUUUUGAAGCAGCUAAGCAGCUAUCCAAGACUCAGUUGUUCCUAUGAAUUUUCUUCUAAUGUAUUACGUGUAAGCUGUGACAGAACAGGAUAUAGGGGACAAGAGGAAAUGACAUCCGCUGGUCCUCUCAGGCGACCUUCAGCCAUUUUCUUAAGAGGCUUCAAUGUUGGUGGUGUUAGCUCUCUCUGAGUACCCAAGGAACGAUGGCCUCAGGAGAGACUUAGAAAGAAGUGGAGGUGAAAUCUGGGUAGUGAAAAUCAUAAUUUGGGUCAUAUUUCGAAACUACAAAGCUCUGUCUGCCAUCUCUGUUGGUGACCAUUGGCCUAAGGAAAAGCAGUGGUUUGGAAACUUCCUCUGAAUUGUUUUGCUUCAGGAA
rnacentral:lncRNA from 1 species